AUGGUCCUACGGGGGGCAGCAGUGAGGAAUAUUGGUCAAUGGGCUUACGCCUGAACCAGCCAAGUCGCGUGAGGGAAGACUGCCCUAUGGGUUGUAAACCUCUUUUGUCAGGGAGCAACGCCGGCUACGUGUAGCCGGACUGAGAGUACCUGAAGAAAAAGCAUCGGCUAACUCCGUGCCAGCAGCCGCGGUAAUACGGAGGAUGCGAGCGUUAUCCGGAUUUACUGGGUGUAAAGGGCGUGUAGGCGGGAGAGCAAGUCAGACGUGAAAUUCCAGGGCUCAACCCUGGAACUGAGUUUGAAACU
rnacentral:rRNA from 1 species